rnacentral:rRNA from 1 species
AGAAAGCAGGGGACCUUCGGGCCUUGCGCUAUCAGAUGAGCCUAGGUCGGAUUAGCUAGUUGGUGAGGUAAUGGCUCACCAAGGCGACGAUCCGUAACUGGUCUGAGAGGAUGAUCAGUCACACUGGAACUGAGACACGGUCCAGACUCCUACGGGAGGCAGCAGUGGGGAAUAUUGGACAAUGGGCGAAAGCCUGAUCCAGCCAUGCCGCGUGUGUGAAGAAGGUCUUCGGAUUGUAAAGCACUUUAAGUUGGGAGGAAGGGCAUUAACCUAAUACGUUAGUGUUUUGACGUUACCGACAGAAUAAGCACCGGCUAACUCUGUGCCAGCAGCCGCGGUAAUACAGAGGGUGCAAGCGUUAAUCGGAAUUACUGGGCGUAAAGCGCGCGUAGGUGGUUCGUUAAGUUGGAUGUGAAAGCCCCGGGCUCAACCUGGGAACUGCAUUCAAAACUGACAAGCUAGAGUAUGGUAGAGGGUGGUGGAAUUUCCUGUGUAGCGGUGAAAUGCGUAGAUAUAGGAAGGAACACCAGUGGCGAAGGCGACCACCU